rnacentral:rRNA from 1 species
GACGAACGCUGGCGGCGUGCCUAAUACAUGCAAGUCGAGCGAGCGGCGGACGGGUGAGUAACACGUAGGAACCUACCGAUAAGCGGGGGACAACAUCCGGAAACGGGUGCUAAUACCGCCUACUGUCACUUAUCGCUGGCUGCGGUUAGCUCGUUGGUGGGGUAACGGCUCACCUAGGCGACGAUCUCUAGCUGGUCUGAGAGGAUGAUCAGCCACACUGGGACUGAGACACGGCCCAGACUCCUACGGGAGGCAGCAGUGGGGAAUAUUGCACAAUGGGCGCAAGCCUGAUGCAGCCAUGCCGCGUGUAUGAAGAAGGCCUUAGGGUUGUAAAGUACUUUCAGCGGGGAGGCGUUACCCGCAGAAGAAGCACCGGCUAACUCCGUGCCAGCAGCCGCGGUAAUAC